rnacentral:lncRNA from 1 species
AGGACCACAAGUCCCACAAAAGUUCUAUUACCACGAAGCGGUCCUAUAGAUCUUGAAGGCACUCCGAACGGCUCCACAGAAGGCAACGGGUGCUAUCUCGACAACAGCCCACAUCCAAUCGACAUCGAGAGUGGUCCAUCUCCGGAGGACAGAGUACGAUGCUGUAUUAAGUCAACUGAGACUCUAGUUUCGAGACAGCAAAAUAAAGAUUCACCUCCAGGUGCAAUAUCUACAGAUCCUCCCGUGUCAGAACAUUAAUUCCUCAGAAUCUCCAGGUUCCCAAGGAUAAAUCUACGGGUCCUACAGGAUCAUAACAUGAAGCCAUUCAAAGCCUUAGAUUCCAAAGAAGAAUCAGCAGGGACUACAAGUUCCUACGCGAUGUGUGUCGAUACCUCAGGGUAG